rnacentral:misc_RNA from 1 species
UUUCCGGAGGUGAACCUGCGGAAGGAUCAUUAUCGAAAAGCAAUCCGGGGGGGAGGCGACCGAGCGAAGUUUGGUAGAUCGUAGGGAUUGUCGCUGGCCUUUGGAAACGAAGGCAUGUGCACGUUCCGAGUUCUCCUUAGUCCUCCUUUGCCUUUCCUUUGGAAAACCCUUUCUUCAUACCCGUGCACCCAUUGUAGGUCUCCGCGAGGGGAUCUACGUCUUCACAUAAACACUACGUAUGUCUAGGAAUGUAUCUAAAAGCGUCGGACGGCUUGGCUUCGUGCCCGGUCGGCGACGGUAAAGAACCAUAAUACAACUUUCAGCAACGGAUCUCUUGGCUCUC